AGUGAACGCUGGCGGCAGGCCUAAUACAUGCAAGUCGAACGGCAGCACAGUGGAGCUUGCUCCAUGGGUGGCGAGUGGCGGACGGGUGAGGAAUACAUGGGAAUCUGCCCAGUCGUGGGGGAUAACGUAUGGAAACGUACGCUAAUACCGCAUGCGCCCUUCGGGGAAAGUCGGGGACCGCAAGGCCUGACGCGAUUGGAUGAGCCCAUGUUCGAUUAGCUAGUUGGCGGGGUAACGGCCCACCAAGGCGACGAUCGAUAGCUGGUCUGAGAGGAUGAUCAGCCACACUGGAACUGAGACACGGUCCAGACUCCUACGGGAGGCAGCAGUAGGGAAUAUUGGACAAUGGGCGCAAGCCUGAUCCAGCCAUGCCGCGUGAGUGAAGAAGGCCCUCGGGUUGUAAAGCUCUUUUGUUGGGGAAGAAAAGCAGUUGGUUAAUACCCGAUUGUUCUGACGGUACCCAAAGAAUAAGCACCGGCUAACUUCGUGCCAGCAGCCG
rnacentral:rRNA from 1 species